rnacentral:rRNA from 1 species
CCGGUAGCUAAAUGCGGAAGAGAUAAGUGCUGAAAGCAUCUAAGCACGAAACUUGCCCCGAGAUGAGUUCUCCCUGACCCUUUAAGGGUCCUGAAGGAACGUUGAAGACGACGACGUUGAUAGGCCGGGUGUGUAAGCGCAGCGAUGCGUUGAGCUAACCGGUACUAAUGAACCGUGAGGCUUAACCUUACAACGCCGAAGGUGUUU